GCCUGGGUGGCUCAGUCGGUUGAGCGUCUGACUUUGGCUCAUGAUUUCUCGGUUCGUGAGUUCGAGCCCCAUGUCGGGCU
rnacentral:tRNA from 1 species